AACAUAAAAAUAGAUAUGAAAAGAAGUUAUGAAAAGAAUGUAAAGAAUUUUAAUUAUUGAUAAAACACAGGCUGUGAUGAUGAUCAUUUUCAGUUAUUGUUCAGUCUAAGUUGAGGACAUGUAAGUUCGCGUGUUAUUUACUUUGGAUUCUGGCAUCAUUAUGGAGGAGAUGGAUUGGAAUGAGGUUAUUCCCUAUGAGAAUAAAGAUCAGAGGGAAACACAUGCUGCUUGUCAUUUAACACUCUGUGCUGGACUGAUGUGAAGCAAUUGUGCCCACUUAUCAACAAAGAUCAGCUGAAGGAUCCCAUUCAGUGUGUGGAGGACUCACUACUGGAUCAAGAUGCAAUAGUGCUGUUUGACUCUGAAUCAUUUCCCAUCAAACAUUUCAUCGGUCAAAUAAAAGUUUCUGUUCAAUGCGUGGAGAAUCCAGAGGGUGAAGAUGGAGAAAUCGUUAAUGACUGUCAAUCAUUUCACUGGACCUCAAGACCCAUUGCAUCCUGAUGUAGUAUUUGUGUUCAUUCGAUUUUCAUGGAUGUGG